UAGUGUAUUUAAAAAAAUAACAAAGUUAGAUUGGGUCCUAGGUUUAACAUUUAUGUGAUAUAAUUGUGAGUAACAUAUAGGAUAUACAAUUUAUAAGGUUCAGUUAUUCAGUAUUUAUUUGGUUUUGAGUGAGUAAGUGAUCUUUGAGAAGAGACUUGAAUUUAUAAACAGGUAGUGUUUCUUUUAUAUUUACAGGUAAUGAAUUCCAGAUUUUAGGGCCUUUUAUGUGCAUUGAGUUUUUGCAUAGUGUGAGAUGGACACGAGGAACAUCAAAGAGUGAUCUGUGCCUUGUGUUAUGGUCAUGUGUUCUGUUGAGGUUGGCAAGGAGAUGUUUGAGGGGAGGGUUAAUAUCAGAGUUAAGUGUUCUAUGUAUGUAAUAGGUGCAAUAAUAAGUAUGGAUGUUUUGUAUGGUGAGUAGGUUGAGUGUUUUGAAUAUUGGUGGAGUGUGUUGCCUGUAGUGAGAAUUUGUUAUCAUUCUAACUGCAGCCUUUUGUUGGGUAAUUAGUGGUCUGAGAUGGUUAAUUGUUGUUGAGCCCCAUGCACAAAUUCCAUAGGUGAGAUAGGGGUAAAUAAGAGAGUGAUAAAGGGCCAGGAGGGCUGACUGUGGAACAUAGUACCGUAUCUUCGAUAGUAUGCCUACAGUCUUGGAGAUUUUCUUAGAAAUUUGUUGUAUAUGUGUAUGAAAUUUGAGUCUAUUAUCGAGGUGGAUUCCUAGGAAUUUUCCCUCUGUUAGCUUUGUGAUAGGUGAUCCGUUUAUUGUUAUGUUAAGAGGUACAUCUGUAGCUCUGUUACCAAACUGAAUGAAGUAGGUUUUGUCAAUGUUUAGUGUAAGUUUGUUAGUCCUCAUCCAGGUAGAUAUUUUCUGUAAUUCGGUGUUUACAGUAUUGGCUAGCGUGACUGGGCUCGGGUGAGAGAAGACGUAUGUAGUGUCAUCUGCAAAAAGUGUGGGUUUGAGUAAUUGCGAAGCAUUUGGUAGGUCAUUUAUGUAUAGGAGAAAGAGAAGAGGGCCAAGGACACUUCCCUGUGGGACACCAACUGUAAUUAGUUGUGCGGAAGAGCUUGCCCCAUUUGCGUACACAUAUUGGCUUCUGUUGCUGAGGUAAGACUUGAGGUAGUUGAGGGAGUGACAAUUUUACGUGGAGCAAGUCAUGGUCAACUGUAUCAAAAGCUUUACGUAUGUCAAUGAAGAUCCCCAGUGGGACUUCUUUUUUCUCUAUUGCAGUGUAUAUAUGUUCUAGCAUGUGUAUAAUAAUAUCAUUAGUAUUUUUAUUAGGCCUGAAUCCAAAUUGGCAGGGGUUGAGAAUGUUUUGGGCGAUGAGGUAGGAGUAGAUUCGUUUAUGAAUUAAUUUUUCGAAGAUUUUUGAGAGAGGGUGUAAAUUGGAUAUUGGCCUAUAGUUAUUCAACUCUGUUUGGUCUCCUCCUUUAUGGAUUGGGGUGACCCUUGCUAUUUUGAGAACUGUAGGGAAGGUGGAGGAUUCAAUGGAUUUGUUAAAGAGUGUUGCAAUGAUUGGUGAUAGUACUUGUGAUGCUUUUUUGUAUAUAAAGGGUGGUAAGGUAUUUAAAUCUCCUGCCUUGUUUUUCAGUGCGUUGAUAAUAAGGGAGACUUCGUAUGGGUUAGUCAGAGCUAGGAACAGUGUGUUCGGGUAGUUGCCAGUGAGGUAGUCAUUUGGUGGGGUAUCUGAGCUUGGGAUAUUAUUGGCAAGGUUUUGACCUAUAGUGGAGAAGAAAUCAUUGAGUCUGUUUGCUGUUUCUGUUGGUGGGAGUUGGGGUUCAUCUGAUUUUGCUAAUUUUAUUUCGCUAUGUCGUGAUAUCUUUUUUGUUCCCAGAAUUUCUGAUAGGGUCUUCCAGGUCUUUUUUAUAUCACCUCGUAAGUUGGAUAAUCUGUUCUCAUAAUACAAUUUGUUUGCCCUUCUUAUCAGGUUGGUUAGGAUUGACGAGUAACGUUUUGUUUGGUCUCUGGUUAUGUGACCCAUUCUGUACUGUUUUUCAUAUCGGUGUUUUGUAUUUAUGGAUUUGAGAAUGCUAGGUGUUAGCCAGGGACUGUUCAGUCUCUUAGCUGUUAUCUGUUUAGUUUUUUUAGGGCAGUGCUUGUUAUAAAGGUAUUGGGUCUUUUUUAGAAAAUUAUUAAAACAUUCGUCAAUAUCUGUAUAGAUUUCUAGCUCAGUGUGCCAGUCAAUGUUUGUUACUGCUGUUGUGAAGUUAUUAAUGGCUGCCUCAUUGUGAAGUCUGAAGGUGACUUUAGUAGUGUCUUGGGGUAUUUUACCAAGAGUUGUUAUGAGGAAAGUAGGGUAGUGGUCUGUGGUAUUAUCUGUAAUUAUGCCUGAUUUUAAAGGGGAUAUGGUGUUGGUCCAGAUGUGGUCAAGUAGGGAAACACUAGUCUCUGUAACUCUUGUAGGUUUUGUUACUGUUGGUAGCAACAUGCAGUUACUCAUUGUGUUUGUGAAUUCAGUAA